GCACUUGCGGUUGGGCCACAUCAAGUUUUUGGCGCCGUUGCCGGGGAGUUGUUUGUUUAAGAUUGAAUUCUUGAUUAUUUUAGUUGUUUAUAGUUUUAUCUUUGUUAUCUUUUCAUUUUGUGUUUGUUUGUUCUUUUUCAGGUACUCUUAAUCUUUUAUGAGAAGAGCUAGAAGCACAAGUGACACAUCCUUAUUGUUUAAUCUUGAAAUUGAGAAAUUUUGUAAAGCCAACAAGAAAGAAACCAGAAAAAGAAAAGAAGCUUUGAGAGCAGCUGAAAUUGAACAAGAAAUGGCUGAAGAAAGAGUUGGAAUCGGUGGUAAUAAUGCUGAAAAUGAUCGAAACAAUGAAAAUGCAGCUCAUGGUGAAGAAGUUGUAAAUGUUAAUGUGCCUAAGGGAAGUAUGAUGGAUCGCGCAUUUCCUCAUUUUGAUGAUUUAAGAGAGAGUAUAGCAAGACCAAGAAUUGAUGCAAAUAGUUACAAGAUGGAUUUUGGAGUUCUUCAAAUGAUUCAAAAUUCUCAAUUUGGGGGACAUCCUUCUGAAAAUCCACACACACAUCUGAAGAAGUUUGCUAUGAUUUGUGACAUGCAAAAACAACCUGGAGUGUCUGAUGAUGCAGCAAGAUUGAAGCUAUUCCCAUUCUCUUUGAAAGAUAGAGCAUUGGAUUGGCUUGAUUCUUUACCUCACAACUCCAUUACAAAUUGGGAGCAACUUACUGAUGCAUUUCUUGCACAAUAUUUUCCACCUGGAAAAACUCAAGAACUGAGGAAUCAAAUGACAGCUUUCAGACCAAGAGAAGAUGAAACUCUUUAUGAAUCAUGGAUGAGAUAGAAUGAGUUGGAGAGACAAUGUCCAUAUUAUGCCAUAUAUGAAUAGAUGAUAAAUCAAAAUUUCUAAACAAAUGUUACUCUUGCAAUUAGAGGAAUUAUUGAUGCUUAAACUGGAGGAGAGUUUAUUAUGAAGCAAGAGAAUGAAGCUUAUGAACUAUUGGAUAAAAUAGCAAAGAGCACUCAUUUGUGGAGUAGUCCAAGAGGUUCAGCUCCAACACAAAAGAAGCAAAUUGCAGGAAUGUAUGAGCUUGAUCCAUUCAACAUGAUCAAUGCCAAAUUUGAUGCACUCACUAAUGUCCUUGCUAAGAAAAUGGAGGAUUUAAGUAUGCUAGUCAGUUCAUCAUCAUGUUCUGGAAGUUCUCAACAAGUUACUUAUGCAGAAGGAACAAUGAGCUGUGGAGUAGAUUAUCCUUCAUAUGCUUGGAGAAAUCAUCCUAAUUUUUCAUGGGAGAAUCAGCAAAAUCAAGCUUCAACUCAGAACUUUCCACCACAACAACAAGAGCAUCAAUACCAACAACCUAGGCAACCACCACCUAGUUUUCAGCAAAAGAAUGCAAAUCCUGCACCUUUACCAAGACAGCAAGAACAAAGUUCCAUCACAGAGGCUUUAUUACAACAAAUUCUUGCUAAUCAAAUUAAGCGUGAUGAAGAGUUGAGAGAUAUGAAAGCAAGGCUGGAACAAAUGCAAACACACAAUAGGAUGCUGGAAAAUCAGAUUGCACAACAAGCAUGCUCAUCAAGUACCAAUUCUAUGGGGAAACUUCCUAGUCAAACAGAAAAUCCAAGGGAGCAGUGUCAUGCCAUCACACUGAGGAGUGGUAAAAUAGUGCAUAAUGAGAAGAGUGAAAAAGUUGAAAAGAGAGAAAAUGAGGAAGAUUUUGAGGGAGAUGAAAAACAAAAGAGUGAAAAAGGGAGUGCAAGAAAAGGUAAAGAGGAGGUUGGAGAGAAAGAAGAGAAAUAUAUACCUCCAGAGCCUUACAAGCCACAGCUUCCCUUUCCACAGAGAUUUCAAAAAGCCAAGCUUGAUAAGCAAUUUGGGAAGUUCUUAGAGGUUUUGAAGAAGCUAUAUAUAAAUGUGCCUUUUAUUGAUGCUCUUUCCCAAAUGCCUUCUUAUGCUAAGUUUCUAAAAGAAAUUCUCUCAAAUAAGAGGAGACUUGAAGAUUAUGAGACUGUAGCCUUAACUGAGGAAUGCAGUGCUAUCCUCCAAAGGAAACUUCCUCCAAAGCUCAAGGAUCCAGGGAGUUUUUCAAUUCCAUGCCACAUUGGGGAAUCAUGUUCUAUAAAAGCUUUAUGUGAUUUAGGGGCUAGUGUUAGCCUUAUGCCCCUCUCCAUUUAUGAGAAGCUCAAUAUGGGAGAUCUUAAGCCAACCCACAUUUCUCUUCAGUUAGCUGACAGAUCAAUUAAGUAUCCUGAAGGGAUUUUGGAGAAUGUGCCUCUGAAGGUUGGGAAGUUUUAUAUACCUAUUGACUUUGUCAUCUUGGACAUGGAGGAAGAUUCUAAUAUUCCAAUUAUCUUGGGGAGACCCUUUCUAGCUACAGCAGGGGCAUUGAUUGAUGUUAAGGGAGAAAAAUUGACUCUUAGAGUUGGUGAAGAUCAGUUGGUUUUCAAUAUUAAUAACACUAUGAAGAAACAUCAUUCUAAAGCUGAUACUUGCUUAAGAGUUGAUAUCAUUGAUGAGUUGGUUGAAAAACACUUUAGAAAAAGGUAUCCAGAAGAUCCACUUGAAAAUUGUUUGGUUCAUGAAGGAGGCAUAGACUAUGACAACCCUCAUGUGGCUGCAUGUGCUCAACAUUUAGAGGGUAGUCCACCAUUCAUUUCUGCUCCAGUUUUUCAACUCACACAAAACAAAAAAGUCAAAUCUAAGCAACCAUCAUUCAAGGAAGAAGAUGCACCUAAGGUAGAACUUAAGCAACUUCCUUCUCAGCUCAGGUAUGAAUUUCUUGGCACCAAUAACACUUAUCCAGUAAUUGUAAAUGCAAACUUGAGUACCUUAGAGGCUGAUAAGUUGUUAAGAGUGUUAAGACAAUUUAGGAAAGUUUUAGGAUAUACCAUAAAAGACAUUAAGGGAAUAAGCCCGCACUUUUGCAUGCACAGAAUUAUUUUGGAAGAAAAUUGUAAGCCAUCUAUUGAACAUCAGAGGAGGCUGAACCCAAAUAUGAAAGAAGUUGUUAAAAAGGAAAUUUUAAAAUUGCUUGAUGUAGGGAUCAUAUACCCUAUCUCAGACAGUACUUGGGUGAGCCCAGUACAUGUUGUCCCAAAAAAGGGUGGAAUGACAGUGGUAAAAAAUGAAAAUAAUGAAUUAAUUCCCACCAGAAUAGUGACUAGUUGGCGAAUGUGCAUAGAUUACAGAAAAUUAAAUGUUGCCACUAGAAAAGAUCAUUUUCCACUUCCCUUCAUUGAUCAGAUGUUAGAAAGACUGGCUAGGCAUUCUUAUUUUUGCUAUUUAGAUGGAUACUCAGGUUUUUUUCAAAUCCCUAUCCAUCCAAAUGAUCAAGAGAAAACCACUUUUACUUGUCCAUAUGGAACCUUUGCUUAUAGGAGGAUGCCAUUUGGUUUGUGUAAUGCACCAGCCACUUUUCAAAGGUGCAUGAUGGCAAUCUUCUCAGAUUUCAUUGAAGACAUAAUGGAGGUUUUUAUGGACGAUUUUUCUGUUUAUGGAUCUUCAUUUGACAUAUGCUUGGCUAACCUUUCUAAAGUUUUGCAGCGAUGUGCAGAUACUGACCUUGUGUUAAACUGGGAAAAGUGUCAUUUCAUGGUUCAGGAAGGGAUAGUGCUUGGACAUUUGGUGUCUAACAGAGGAAUAGAGGUUGAUAAAGCCAAAGUUGAAGUGAUAGAGAAGAUGGCUCCUCCUACCAAUGUCAAGGGAAUUCGAAGUUUCCUAGGACAUGCCGGGUUCUACAGACGCUUUAUCAAGGAUUUUUCUAAAAUAGCUAAACCUUUGUCUAAUUUGUUAAGUCAUGACAUACCAUUUGUAUUUGACCAAGAGUGUUUGGAUGCCUUUUGCAGGUUGAAGCAAGCUCUUAUCACUGCACCAAUCAUGCAACCACCUGAUUGGAGCCUACCUUUUGAAAUUAUGUGUGAUGCUAGCAACUAUGCAAUUGGAGCUGUUCUUGGUCAAAGAAAGGACAAAAAGGCUUAUGCUAUUUAUUAUGCUAGUAGAACACUGGAUGAGGCUCAAACAAAUUAUGCAACAACUGAAAAGGAAUUUUUAGCAAUUGUCUUUGCAUUGGAAAAGUUCAGACCUUACAUUAUUGACUCAAAGGUGGUUAUAUUUUCAGAUCAUGCAGCCAUCAGGUAUUUGCUCCGUAAAAAGGAGGCUAAACCUAGGCUCAUUAGGUGGAUUCUGAUGCUACAAGAGUUUGACUUGGAGAUUAGAGAUAAGAAGGGAGCUGAAAAUGUAGUUGCUGAUAAUCUUAGUAGGCUGAAAUUGGAUGAUGAAGAAUUGGAUGAAAUCCCUAUUGAUGAGUUUUUCUUGGAUGAACAACUUUUCUCUCUUGUUGCUAAACUACCUUGGUAUGCAGACUUUGUGAAUUAUCUAUCUUGUGGAGUUUUACCUCUAGGUAUGACAUGGCAACAAAAGAAAAAGUUUUUGCAUGAGGUGAAGUUUUAUAGAUGGGAUGAUCCUUUACUCUUUAGGAGAUGCUGUGAUGGUUUAAUAAGGAGAUGUAUUCCUGAUGAGGAGACACAGAGUAUUAUGCAUCAUUGCCAUGCUUCUGAUUAUGGAGGACAUUUUGGAAUCUCUAAAACAGCUAGUAAAAUUUUGCAAGCUGGUUUCUUUUGGCCAAAUCUUUUUAAGGAUGUGAGGAAAUUUGUGUUGGAAUGUGAUAAAUGUCAAAGGAGUGGAAAUUUGUCAAAAAGAGAUCAAAUGCCCCUAAAUGGUAUUCUUGAAGUAGAAUUAUUUGAUGUUUGGGGAAUAGAUUUUAUGGGGCCAUUUCCUCCUUCAUUUGGUAAUAGAUACAUCCUAGUUGGAGUUGACUAUGUGUCAAAGUGGGUGGAAGCUAUUGCAACUCCAACUAAUGAUGCUAGAGUGGUAGUGAAAUUCUUAAAGAAAUUUGUCUUGAGCAGAUUCGGAGCUCCUAGGGCUGUAAUUAGUGAUGGGGGUUCCCAUUUUUGUAAUAAGCAAUUUGAGAGCUUAAUGAGGAAGUAUGGUGUAGUGCACAAGAUAGCUACCCCAUACCAUCCUCAAACUUCAGGACAAGUUGAAAUUUCUAACAGAGAACUCAAGCAUAUCUUGGAGAAAACAGUGAACAAUUCUCGGAAAGAUUGGUCUAUCAAACUAGAUGAUGCUUUAUGGGCAUAUAGGACUGCCUACAAAACCCCUAUAGGAACUACUCUCUUUAGAUUGGUGUAUGGUAAGUCUUGUCAUUUACCUGUGGAGCUAGAACAUAGAGCAUAUUGGGCCAUUCAGACCUUGAAUUUUGAUCUUAAGCAAGCUGGUGAAAAGAGACUAUUGCAACUUAAUGAGCUUGAAGAACUAAGGAUGAAUGCUUAUGAAAGUGCCCGUAUUUACAAAGAAAGAACUAAAGUUUGGCAUGAUAAGCAUCUGAGGAAAAAAGAAUUCAAAGAAGGUGAUUUAGUUUUGUUGUUUAACUCAAGAUUGAAAUUGUUCCCUGGAAAACUUAAAUCAAGGUGGACUGGUCCAUAUAGAGUUUCUAAGGUUUUCCCUUAUGGAGCAAUUGAAAUUUGGAGUGAAAAAUCUGGGAAUUUUAAGGUCAAUGGGCAUAGAUUGAAACAUUACAUAACUGGAGACCCAAUAAAAGGAGCAAGCUAUUACAAGUUCUCCAAUCCCUCACCUCUUUUCAGUGAAAUUCAUGAAAAGUCCAGCUAAGGACUAUAAAUUAGCCCUCUUGGGAGGCAUCCCAAGUUCUUUUAUUUUGCUUUUGCUAAUUUACUUUUAUUUACAUUGCUUUUGUUUUUAUCUUAAAUCUUCCCAAAUUCAAUUUUUGACAUUGUUGAAUCUUGUCCCUUGUAGAUGUAUUUCAAUGGAGGAAGGUUGGUGAACUGCUGGGGAGUGACCCUUAACCUGAAAUUAUGUUCUUUAAAUCUCCUACAAAUUGAUUGAUUUUUACUGCAUAACCUGUGCAGGGUCUGCUACCUGGUUUAUGCAGAGAGGAAAAAUGAAAUCUGCAGCAAAAAGGGUGUCUGCAGCAAAUGGCUUGUAUUUUUGGUGAGGUUGAAUGUAUAUCAAUGAAGAAAGGUUGGUGAAC
rnacentral:misc_RNA from 1 species